rnacentral:rRNA from 1 species
AAAAGCGGAGGAAAAGAAACCAACAGGGAUUGCCUCAGUAACGGCGAGUGAAGCGGCAACAGCUCAAAUUUGAAAGCUGGCUCCUUUCGGGGCCCGCGUUGUAAUUUGUAGAGGAUGCUUCGGGUGCGGCGCUGGUCUAAGUUCUUUGGAACAAGACGUCAUAGAGGGUGAGAAUCCCGUAUGUGACUGGUUGCCUGCGCCUAUGUGAAGCUCCUUCGACGAGUCGAGUUGUUUGGGAAUGCAGCUCCAAAUGGGUGGUGUACUUCAUCUAAAGCUAAAUAUUGGCCAGAGACCGAUAGCGCACAAGUAGAGUGAUCGAAAGAUGAAAAGCACUUUGGAAAGAGAGUUAAACAGUACGUGAAAUUGUUGAAAGGGAAGCGCUUGCAAUCAGACUUGCGCAGCGUCGAUCAGCCUGGGUUCUCCCUGGUGCACUCGGCGCUGUUCAGGCCAGCAUCAGUUUCGGCGGUUGGAUAAAGGCUUAGGGAACGUGGGUCGCCUCGGCGACCGUUAUAGCCCUAGGUGCAAUGCAGCCUGCUGGGACUGAGGACCGCGCUUCGGCAAGGAUGCUGGCGUAAUGGUUGUAAGCGACCCGUCUUGAAACCACGGACCA